rnacentral:lncRNA from 1 species
AUCAAAAGACCCUAGGUCUUUAAUAUGUUUGGUUAAUGAGUAAUACCACUUUACGCGUAAUUCUAAAUGUUAGAUGGACAAAAACUCCCAUCUAUUGUAUGCGCACCCUUUGAACCAAAAUAUACAAGUAAGGACAUGUCGCAACUAACAAUUUAUGAAAAAUUAUUUGUCAAUAUGUCAUACGGUAUUUGAAAAGAAGUGAAAAUAAGCCAAAAUCAAAAUUUAGAAUAUGAUCUUGACCUUUGACCUUGACCUCAUUUUCAUUUUUUGGACCAAGGACCUCAAAUCUGAAGACUCUAGGUUUCUAUCACUUAUGGUUUACCAGUUGAAAAUGCAUAUCACUUGAAUCAAAUAAAAAAGGGGGAAUAACUCUCAUAUGGAGUCUCCAUAUAGCUUCGGUCCAAAUGAAUAUCCUUAUCCUAAAGAUGUAACGAGCAAUUUGGUAAAAUAAAUUUGUCGUAAUCUUUUACGGUUGCGAAGGAGUAGUAGCCACAAGAAAAACAGUGUUCGGGGAGAUAACUCAUACAACGUAAAGUAUUUUGUUACGCGGUUGUAAAUUUUUAAAGCGUAUAAACUAUACGAUAUCAUAUUCCAAACAUCUAAGCGACAAGUUAUUAAACAACAAUACUACGCAAGAAAAAAAAUUAGGCGGAAGAAAAAAAAAAAAAAAAAUAAUACUAAUAAUAAUAAUAAUUAAAAACCAAUUGUUCAAAGAACAAUUGAAGGUCUUUCAACCAAUAAGGAUGUAUUUUGAUAUGAAAAUAUAAAGAUUCAGUUGAAAAUGUCGGUUCCUAUGGCUUUAUGAUGUAUAAAAAUGAAUUUCGACCAAAGGUCAAAAUCUAGAACGUCCAAUUUACCUAUGACCUUGACCUCAAUUUCAAGGUCAUAAACAUAGGAUCCCAAAUCAAAAGACCCUAGGUCUGUAUUAUGUAUGGUUCAUGAGUAAUAUCACUUUACGCAUAAUUCUAAAUAUAAGAUGGGCGAAAACUCCCAUUUAUUGUCUACGCACCCUUGUAACCAAAAUUUAUAAGUAACGACAUGUCGCAACUAACAAUUUAGUAAAAAAAAUUGUCGAUAUCUUAUAAGGUUAAUGAAAAAAGGUGAAAAUAAGCCAAAAUCAAAAUUUAGAAUUUGACCUUGACCUUUGACCUUGACCUAAUUUUCAUUUUUUUGGACCAAGGAUCUAAAAUCAAAAGACCCUAGGUCUCUAUCACUUAUGGUUUACCAGUUAGAAAUGCAUAUUACUUAUAUCAUAUAUAAAAGGGGGGAUAACUCUCAUAUGGAGUCUCCGGAUAGCUUCGGUCAAAAUGAAACAGAACAUCCUGAGGAUAUAACGAGCAAUUUGGAAAAAUAAAUUUGUCGGUUUCUUAUACGGUUGUGGAGCCUUAGUGGCCACAAGAAAAACAGUGUUCGGGGAGAUAACUCUUACAAGGUAAAAGUUUUUUGUUACGCGGUGUCAGUUUCAGAAGCGCAUUAACUGUUCGAUAUCAUAUACCAUAUAUCUAAGCGACAUCUUGUGAAACAAAAAAACAGCGAAGGAAAAAAAAGUUGGUGGAAGAAAAAAAAAAAUAAUAAUAAUAAUAAUAAUUAAAAACCAAUUGUUCAAAGAACAAUUGAAGGUCUUUCAACCAAUAAAGAUCUAUUUAGAUAUGAAAAUAUUAAAAUUCAGUUGAAAAUGUCAGUUCCUAUGGCUUAAUGAUGUAUAAAUAUGAAUUUAAGCAAAGGUCAAAAUCUAGAACGUCCAAUUAACCUAUGACCUUGACCUCAAUUUCAAGGUCAUAGACUAAACAUCUCAAAUAAAAAGACACUAGUUCCUUAAUAUGUAUGGUUCAUGAGUAAAUCACUUUACGCAUAAUUCUUAAUAUAAGAGGGGCGAAAACUCCCUUUUAUUGUUUACGCACCCUCGCAACCAAAAUUUAUAAGUUACGACAUGUCGCAACUAACAAUUUAGUAAAAAAAAAAUUGUCGAUAUCUUAUAAGGUUAAUGAAAAAAGGUGAAAAUAAGCCAAAAUCAAAAUUAAGAAUUUGACCUUGACCUUUGACCUUGACCUAAUUUUCAUUUUUUUAGACCAAGGAUCUUAAAUCAAAAGACCCUAGGUCUCUAUCACUUAUAGUUUACCAGUUAGAAAUGCAUAUCACUGAUAUCAUAUAUAAAAGGGGGGAUAACUCUCAUAUGGAGUCUCCGGAUAGCUUCGGUUGAAAUGAAACAGAACAUCCUAAGGAUAUAACGAGCAAUUUGGAAAAAAUAAAUUUGUCGGUUUUUCUUAUACGGUUGCGAAGGAGUAGUUGGCCACAAGAAAAACAGUGUUCGGGAGAUAACUCUUACAAGGUAAAGUUUUUGUUACGCGGUGUCAGUUUCAGAAGCGUAUAAACUGUUCGAUAUCAUUACCAAAUAUCUAAGCGACAUCUUGUGAAACAAAAAACAGCGAAGGAAAAAAAAGUUGGCGGAAGAAAAAAAAAAAAAAAAAAAUUAAAAACCAAUUGUUCAAAGAACAAUUGAAGGUCUUUCAACCAAUAAGGAUCUAUUUUGAUAUGAUGAAAUAUAAAAAGAUUCAGUUGAAAAUGUCAGUUCCUAUGGCUUAUGAUGUAUAAAAUAUGAAUUUCGAGCAAAGGUCAAAAUCUAGAACGUCCAAUUAACCUAUGACCUUGACCUCAAUUUCAAGGUCAUAAACAUAGGAUCCCAAAUCAAAAGACCCUAGGUCUGUAUUAUGUAUGGUUCAUGAGUAAUAUCACUUUACGCAUAAUUCUAAAUAUAAGAGGGGCAAAAACUCCCAUUUAUUGUCUACGCACCCUUGUAACCAAAAUUUAUAAGUAACGACAUGUCGCAACUAACAAUUUAGUAAAAAUAAUUUGUCGAAAUCUUAUUAAGUAAUUGAAAAUAAGUGAAAAUAAAGCAAAAAUCAAAAUUUAAAAUUUGACCUUGACCUUUGACCUUGACCUAAUUUUCAUUUUUUUGGACCAAGGAUCUAAAAUCAAAAGACCCUAGGUCUCUAUCACUUAUGGUUUACCAGUUAGAAAUGCAUAUCACAUAUAUAUAAAGGGGGGAUAACUCUCAUAUGGAGUCUCCGGAUAGCUUCGGUCAAAAUGAAACAGAACAUCCUGAGGAUAUAACGAGCAAUUUGGAAAAAUAAAUUUGUCGGUUUCUUAUACGGUUGCGAAGCCUUAGUGGCCACAAGAAAAACAGUGUUCGGGAGAUAACUCUUACAAGGUAAAGGUUUUUGUUACGCGGUGUCAGUUUCAGAAGCGCAUUAACUGUUCGAUAUAAUAUACCAAAUAUCUAAGCGACAUCUUGUGAAACAAAAAAACAGCGAAGGAAAAAAAAGUUGGCGGAAGAAAAAAAAAAAAAAUAAUAAUAAUAAUAAUUAAAAACCAAUUGUUCAAAGAACAAUUGAAGGUCUUUCAACCAAUAAGGAUCUAUUUAGAUAUGAAAAUAUUAAAAUUCAGUUGAAAAUGUCAGUUCCUAUGGCUUAAUGAUGUAUAACUAUGAAUUUUAAGGAAAAGGUCAAAAUCUAGAACGUCCAAUUAACCUAUGACCUUGACCUCAAUUUCAAGGUCAUAGACUAAACAUCUCAAAUAAAAAGACACUAGUUCCUUAAUAUGUAUGGUUCAUGAGUAAAAUCACUUUACGCAUAAUUCUUAAAUAUAAGAGGGACGAAAACUCCCUUUUAUUGUUUACGCACCCUUGCAACCAAAAUUUAUAAGUUACGACAUGUCGCAACUAACAAUUUAGUAAAAAAAAAAUUGUCGAUAUCUUAUAAGGUUAAUGAAAAAAGGUGAAAAUAAGCCAAAAUCAAAAUUUAGAAUUUGACCUUGACCUUUGACCUUGACCUAAUUUUCAUUUUUUUGGACCAAGGAUCUUAAAUCAAAAGACCCUAGGUCUCUAUCACUUAUAGUUUACCAGUUAGAAAUGCAUAUCACUGAUAUCAUAUAUAAAAGGGGGGAUAACUCUCAUAUGGAGUCUCCGGAUAGCUUCGGUUGAAAUGAAACAGAACAUCCUAAGGAUAUAACGAGCAAAUUUGGAAAAUAAAUUUGUCGGUUUCUUAUACGGUUGCGAAGGAGUAGUGGCCACAAGAAAAACAGUGUUCGGGGAGAUAACUCUUACAAGGUAAAGUUUUUUGUUACGCGGUGUCAGUUUCAGAAGCGUAUUAACUGUUCGAUAUCAUUUACCUUAUAUCUAAGCGACAUCUUGUGAAACAAAAAAACAGCGAAGGAAAAAAAGUUGGCGGAAGAAAAAAAAAAAAAAAAAUAAUAAUAAUAAUCAGAACAAACCCUAUAGGUCUUUCAACUGAAAGGUUGAAAGACCUAAUAAUAAUAAUCAGAACAAAUACAAUAGGUCUUUCAACAGAAAAGGUUGAAAGACCUAAUUAAAAACCAAUUGUUCAGAGAACAAUUGAAGGUCUUUCAACCAAUAAGGAUCUAUUUAGAUAUGAAAAUAUUAAAAUUCAGUUGAAAAUGUCAGUUCCUAUGGCUUAAUGAUGUAUAAAUAUGAAUUUUAAGCAAAGGUCAAAAUCUAGAACGUCCAAUUAACCUAUGACCUUGACCUCAAUUUCAAGGUCAUAGACUAAACAUCUCAAAUAAAAAGACACUAGUUCCUUAAUAUGUAUGGUUCAUGAGUAAAAUCACUUUACGCAUAAUUCUUAAUAUAAGAGGGGCGAAAACUCCCUUUUAUUGUUUACGCACCCUCGCAACCAAAAUUUAUAAGUUACGACAUGUCGCAACUAACAAUUUAGUAAAAAAAAAUUGUCGAUAUCUUAUAAGGUUAAUGAAAAAAAAAAGUGAAAAAAAGCCAAAAUCAAAAUUUAAGAAUUUGACCUUGACCUUUGACCUUGACCUAAUUUUCAUUUUUUUGGACCAAGGAUCUUAAAAUCAAAAGACCCUAGGUCUCUAUCACUUAUGGUUUACCAGUUAGAAAUGCAUAUCACUUAUAUCAUAUAUAAAAGGGGGAUAACUCUCAUAUGGAGUCUCCGGAUAGCUUCGGUCAAAAUGAAACAGAACAUCCUGAGGAUAUAACGAGCAAUUUGGAAAAAUAAAUUUGUCGGUUUCUUAUACGGUUGCGAAGCCUUAGUGGCCACAAGAAAAACAGUGUUCGGGGAGAUAACUCUUACAAGGUAAAGGUUUUUGUUACGCGGUGUCAGUUUCAGAAGCGCAUUAACUGUUCGAUAUCAUAUACCAAAUAUCUAAGCGACAUCUUGUGAAACAAAAAAACAGCGAAGGAAAAAAAAGUUGCGGAAAAAAAAAAAAAAAAAAAAAUAAUAAUAAUAAUAAUUAAAAACCAAUUGUUCAAAGAACAAUUGAAGGUCUUUCAACCAAUAAGGAUCUAUUUAGAUAUGAAAAAUAUUAAGAUUCAGUUGAAAAUGUCAGUUCCUAUGGCUUUAUGAUAUGAAAAUAUGAAUUUGGAGCAAAGGUCAAAAUCUAGAACGUCC